GGGUUGUGAGGUUAAGCGACUAAGCGUACACGGUGGAUGCCCUGGCAGUCAGAGGCGAUGAAGGACGUGCUAAUCUGCGAUAAGCGUCGGUAAGGUGAUAUGAACCGUUAUAACCGGCGAUUUCCGAAUGGGGAAACCCAGUGUGAUUCGUCACACUAUCAUUAACUGAAUCCAUAGGUUAAUGAGGCGAACCGGGGGAACUGAAACAUCUAAGUACCCCGAGGAAAAGAAAUCAACCGAGAUUCCCCCAGUAGCGGCGAGCGAACGGGGAGGAGCCCAGAGCCUGAAUCAGUGUGUGUGUUAGUGGAAGCGUCUGGAAAGGCGCGCGAUACAGGGUGACAGCCCCGUACACAAAAAUGCACAUGCUGUGAGCUCGAUGAGUAGGGCGGGACACGUGGUAUCCUGUCUGAAUAUGGGGGGACCAUCCUCCAAGGCUAAAUACUCCUGACUGACCGAUAGUGAACCAGUACCGUGAGGGAAAGGCGAAAAGAACCCCGGCGAGGGGAGUGAAAAAGAACCUGAAACCGUGUACGUACAAGCAGUGGGAGCCUCUUUAUGGGGUGACUGCGUACCUUUUGUAUAAUGGGUCAGCGACUUAUAUUCUGUAGCAAGGUUAACCGAAUAGGGGAGCCGAAGGGAAACCGAGUCUUAACUGGGCGUUAAGUUGCAGGGUAUAGACCCGAAACCCGGUGAUCUAGCCAUGGGCAGGUUGAAGGUUGGGUAACACUAACUGGAGGACCGAACCGACUAAUGUUGAAAAAUUAGCGGAUGACUUGUGGCUGGGGGUGAAAGGCCAAUCAAACCGGGAGAUAGCUGGUUCUCCCCGAAAGCUAUUUAGGUAGCGCCUCGUGAAUUCAUCUCCGGGGGUAGAGCACUGUUUCGGCAAGGGGGUCAUCCCGACUUACCAACCCGAUGCAAACUGCGAAUACCGGAGAAUGUUAUCACGGGAGACACACGGCGGGUGCUAACGUCCGUCGUGAAGAGGGAAACAACCCAGACCGCCAGCUAAGGUCCCAAAGUCAUGGUUAAGUGGGAAACGAUGUGGGAAGGCCCAGACAGCCAGGAUGUUGGCUUAGAAGCAGCCAUCAUUUAAAGAAAGCGUAAUAGCUCACUGGUCGAGUCGGCCUGCGCGGAAGAUGUAACGGGGCUAAACCAUGCACCGAAGCUGCGGCAGCGACGCUUAUGCGUUGUUGGGUAGGGGAGCGUUCUGUAAGCCUGUGAAGGUGUACUGUGAGGUAUGCUGGAGGUAUCAGAAGUGCGAAUGCUGACAUAAGUAACGAUAAAGCGGGUGAAAAGCCCGCUCGCCGGAAGACCAAGGGUUCCUGUCCAACGUUAAUCGGGGCAGGGUGAGUCGACCCCUAAGGCGAGGCCGAAAGGCGUAGUCGAUGGGAAACAGGUUAAUAUUCCUGUACUUGGUGUUACUGCGAAGGGGGGACGGAGAAGGCUAUGUUGGCCGGGCGACGGUUGUCCCGGUUUAAGCGUGUAGGCUGGUUUUCCAGGCAAAUCCGGAAAACUAAGGCUGAGGCGUGAUGACGAGGCACUACGGUGCUGAAGCAACAAAUGCCCUGCUUCCAGGAAAAGCCUCUAAGCAUCAGGUAACAUCAAAUCGUACCCCAAACCGACACAGGUGGUCAGGUAGAGAAUACCAAGGCGCUUGAGAGAACUCGGGUGAAGGAACUAGGCAAAAUGGUGCCGUAACUUCGGGAGAAGGCACGCUGAUAUGUAGGUGAAGUCCCUCGCGGAUGGAGCUGAAAUCAGUCGAAGAUACCAGCUGGCUGCAACUGUUUAUUAAAAACACAGCACUGUGCAAACACGAAAGUGGACGUAUACGGUGUGACGCCUGCCCGGUGCCGGAAGGUUAAUUGAUGGGGUCAGCGCAAGCGAAGCUCUUGAUCGAAGCCCCGGUAAACGGCGGCCGUAACUAUAACGGUCCUAAGGUAGCGAAAUUCCUUGUCGGGUAAGUUCCGACCUGCACGAAUGGCGUAAUGAUGGCCAGGCUGUCUCCACCCGAGACUCAGUGAAAUUGAACUCGCUGUGAAGAUGCAGUGUACCCGCGGCAAGACGGAAAGACCCCGUGAACCUUUACUAUAGCUUGACACUGAACAUUGAGCCUUGAUGUGUAGGAUAGGUGGGAGGCUUUGAAGUGUGGACGCCAGUCUGCAUGGAGCCGACCUUGAAAUACCACCCUUUAAUGUUUGAUGUUCUAACGUUGGCCCCUGAUCGGGGUUGCGGACAGUGUCUGGUGGGUAGUUUGACUGGGGCGGUCUCCUCCUAAAGAGUAACGGAGGAGCACGAAGGUUGGCUAAUCCUGGUCGGACAUCAGGAGGUUAGUGCAAUGGCAUAAGCCAGCUUGACUGCGAGCGUGACGGCGCGAGCAGGUGCGAAAGCAGGUCAUAGUGAUCCGGUGGUUCUGAAUGGAAGGGCCAUCGCUCAACGGAUAAAAGGUACUCCGGGGAUAACAGGCUGAUACCGCCCAAGAGUUCAUAUCGACGGCGGUGUUUGGCACCUCGAUGUCGGCUCAUCACAUCCUGGGGCUGAAGUAGGUCCCAAGGGUAUGGCUGUUCGCCAUUUAAAGUGGUACGCGAGCUGGGUUUAGAACGUCGUGAGACAGUUCGGUCCCUAUCUGCCGUGGGCGCUGGAGAACUGAGGGGGGCUGCUCCUAGUACGAGAGGACCGGAGUGGACGCAUCACUGGUGUUCGGGUUGUCAUGCCAAUGGCACUGCCCGGUAGCUAAAUGCGGAAGAGAUAAGUGCUGAAAGCAUCUAAGCACGAAACUUGCCCCGAGAUGAGUUCUCCCUGACUCCCUGAGAGUCCUGAAGGAACGUUGAAGACGACGACGUUGAUAGGCCGGGUGUGUAAGCGCAGCGAUGCGUUGAGCUAACCGGUACUAAUGAACCGUGAGGCUUAACCUUACAACGCCGAAG
rnacentral:rRNA from 1 species